rnacentral:rRNA from 1 species
GAUGAACGCUAGCGGCAGGCUUAAUACAUGCAAGUCGAGGGCAGCAGGGGUGUAGCAAUGCACUCGCUGGCGACCGCAACGGGUGCGGAACACGUACGCAAUCUACCCAAAACUGGUGAAUAGCCCUCCGAAAGGAGGAUUAAUACACCGGUAACUUAAUGAAGUGGCAUCACUUUACUAAUAUAGCUCCGGCGGUUUUGGAUGAGCGUGCGCCUGAUUAGGUA